CASAGGCGCGAAACCUUUACACUGCACGCCAGUGGASUUAAGGGGACCCCGAGUGCGAGGGCAUACUAGCCCUCGCUUUUCACAACCGUAGGAGGUUGUGGAACAAGAGCUGGGCAAGACCGGUGCCAGCCGCCGCGGUAAUACCGGCAGCUCGAGUGAUGGCCGCUGUUAUUGGGCCUAAAGCGUCCGUAGCUGGCCACGCAAGUCCGUCGGGAAAUCCAACGGCUCAACCGUUGGGCGUCCGGCGGAAACUGCGUGGCUUGGGACCGGAAGGCUCGAGGGGUACGUCCGGGGUAGGAGUGAAAUCCCGUAAUCCUGGACGGACCACCGAUGGCGAAAGCACCUCGAGAAGACGGAUCCGACAGUGAGGGACGAAAGCUGGGGUCUCGAACCGGAUUAGAUACCCGGGUAGUCCCAGCCGUAAACGAUGCCAGUUAGGUGUGGCGCAGCUACGAGCCUGCGCUGUGCCGUAGGAAGCCGAGAAACUGGCCGCCUGGGAAGUACGUCCGCAAGGAUGAAACUUAAAGGAAUUGGCGGGGAGCACUACAACCGGAGGAGCCUGCGGUUUAAUUGGACUCAACGCCGGACAUCUCACCAGCUCCGACUACAGUGAUGACGAUCAGGUUGAUGACCUUAUCACGACGCUGUAGAGAGGAGGUGCAUGGCCGCCGUCAGCUCGUACCGUGAGGCGUCCUGUUAAGUCAGGCAACGAGCGAGACCCGCACUCUUAAUUGCCAGCAUCAGGUUUCCUGGAUGGGUACAUUAAGAGGACUGCCGCUGCUAAAGCGGAGGAAGGAACGGGCAACGGUAGGUCAGUAUGCCCCGAAUGAGCUGGSUACGCGCGGGCUACAAUGGCCAGGACAAUGGGUUCCCACCUCGAAAGAGGGCGGUAAUCUCCGAAACCUGGUCGUAGUUCGGAUUGUGGGCUGAAACUCGCCCACAUGAAGCUGGAUUCGGUAGUAAUCGCGUUUCAGCAGAGCGCGGUGAAUACGUCCC
rnacentral:rRNA from 1 species